rnacentral:rRNA from 1 species
GACGAACGCUGGCGGCGUGCUUAACACAUGCAAGUCGAACGGAAAGGCCCUGCUUUUGUGGGGUGCUCGAGUGGCGAACGGGUGAGUAACACGUGAGUAACCUGCCCUUGACUUUGGGAUAACUUCAGGAAACUGGGGCUGAUACCGGAUAGGAGCUCCUGCUGCAUGGUGGGGGUUGGAAAGUUUCGGCGGUUGGGGAUGGACUCGCGGCUUAUCAGCUUGUUGGUGGGGUAGUGGCUUACCAAGGCUUUGAUGGGUAGCCGGCCUGAGAGGGUGACCGGCCACAUUGGGACUGAGAUACGGCCCAGACUCCUACGGGAGGCAGCAGUGGGGAAUAUUGCACAAUGGGCGGAAGCCUGAUGCAGCAACGCCGCGUGCGGGAUGACGGCCUUCGGGUUGUAAACCGCUUUCGCCUGUGACGAAGCGUGAGUGACGGUAAUGGGUAAAGAAGCACCGGCUAACUACGUG